AGGGAGGGCCGGUGGACGGGGGACCCUGCCGUCUCCCGUUGGGCUGGGGACCAUUCCAGACCCCACGAUGAAGAAGGGCGAGAACAGAGCUCAGGAGGGAGGAAAUGGCUGGCUGAUGGAGGCAGGAGAGGAUGAAGAUAUUUGAGAGAGACUGUGCAGAGCAGAAAUUAAUCAGAGCAGAGCAGUCUGAAUCUAGCUGGCCUUUGCAUUGUGUUCAAACCUCCAGUCGGACACUCUGGGAGAAUUUCUCAAAUUACAGAAUAUUAGGAACAGAACAAGUUUCCAGAAGGAAGAAAAGAAGACAAGAGUAACAUCCAUUUUGCCAGGGAGGUAGCAGUGUUCAUUGCUCCCCUUUGUGUCUGUGGCCUCUCUGUGCCAGCGCAACGCAUGAGGUUGUUCUCAGGAGAGUGCUCCCCAGCAGCCCCUGCUCACCGUGUCCCCCGGAGUGAAUCCUCUGAUGCUCUUCACCCCUGGGAUUAUCCGUGCCCAAUUUCUGCACCAGACCUGCAGUGUGGUGGGUCUGAGAUGAAGCUGGCUUCUCCCAUCUGAGAUCCUCCUGCCCCUGAGUCAUGGCUCAGCCCCCGAGGCACAGUGUUCUCCAGCCGUCUUCCCUGUGACCCUCUACCGUAUCGGCCCCUGGUCCGAGGAUUAGGUUUCUGGGCCUGUUUGUCUGCAUAGCUCUCAUGUUUCCAUUGGAGAUGUAGCUCCACCACCCAGUCCCACUCACCAAAAUGUCCCCAUCAAUCUCUGAUGUCCACAUUGCUGUCUGCACAGGACAUAGCUGGUUUCUCAUUCACUGACACCUUGCCUUACACGGAGGGCCCCAAUCCUUGACAAGAGUGGUUGCAUGAAUUGCAGACCACCACCAUCCUGGAUUCUCUCUUUCACUCCUUGUAUUAGAUAGAUGGCUCCACAUAAGAGAUUUAUAGUGAUUGGGUUUUUUUUGAAGAAUGAACAUUUUAAUCACAAACAGAGGUCACCUUUUGAAAAAUACAACAUUAUUGCUUCAGAAAAUAUUCACGAUUAAUGUAAAAAUACUGUAGAAUACAUAUAAUUUAUUCCUUUAAAAUGAUUUUUCAUUUUAACAUUCAUUAAAAAUUAAAUAUAAGCAUAAAAGGCUAUUCUGUCUUCAGAAUAAACAUGUGAUCAUAACCACUCUCUAUGACCUGUAUGUUCCCUUCAAGUUUUCUCUAUAGCAUUUACCCAACUGAAAUAAUAUCACGUAUGAUUUUAGUCCUGCUUUUGUCUCUUAAUAUCUUCAAGUAAUAAGCAUUUACCAUAGCAUUCUAAUAAUAUUACAUAAUCACAAUAAACAUUUUCAGUGGUUCAAUGAACAAUUUAAGUAGAUUCAUCACCAUAUACUUAGUUUUCCCCCUACUGUUGGAAGUGUAGGCUAUUUCCAAAUUUGCUGUUGUAAAGAGCACUACAAUUAGUAUCUUUGUGUGUAUCAGUGUUUCCCAUUAAUACGUACGUCUCAGAAUACAUACACAGCUGUAACAUUUCUGGGGCAGACAGAAACAUUUAUAGUUUGUCAAAUUGAUUUUAAAAAGGAUAUCCCACUUAUAACUCCAAAUAUGAGCUCUGAGAGUAUUUGUGUUAUGGUACUCAUCAGCCUAGGCUCAUUUUGUCUCAUUUUGUUUUAAACUCUAUUUCACUGAUUGUGAGGGCGGUGGGCCAUUUUUAUUUGUGUGCUUUCUCCUUGUAGUGUACCUAAGGGAAUUGUCAGUUUAUUGUUUUCACUCACUUAUGUAUUAAAUCAUAACGUUUGCAUCUUAUUUGUACGUAUGUGUUCUUUAUUCAAUACAAAAUAAAUAUAUGUUACAAUAGCAACAAAAAAAUCCCAGAGGUGAGGUUGU